AUGAGCACCGCCGGCACGAGGGCGACCGCUGAAAUAUUGUCGGCCGCGCUAGGUUCUGGAAGGGAAAGGACUACUCGAAGGUCAUCGUGCAGGCUCGUAGGGAGUCGCGGACGGGCAGCUCGUCGUUUGCCCUGGGCGGCUCGUCGUCUGCCCCGCGCCGGCCCCGUCGUCCCCCUCAGGCGGCCACGCCGUCUACAAGCUCUUCCCGCAGUCCGAUACCCACCCUCGCCGGGCCCGCCUCCCCUCCCGCCGUCGAGAUCCCGCCGGAACAGUUCGCGCUGCGCGAGGACGGCGCCCCCGAUGACUGCCCCGGCUACCUCAUCGCCCUACGGGCGUUGCAACUCGCAAGCAGAAGCGGCGGCGGUAGUGGCCAGAGAGGCCACCAAGCUGCAGGCCGCACUCGACGCUGCGGCGGCUAUGGCGGCGGCAGCAGAGGACGAUGUGCUGCAGGCCGCACUGGAUGCGGCAGCGGGCAUCGGUGCGGUGCAGGCGCAGGCGGCUCAGGUGGAGGAUGACGCCGGCGACUGGGACGACGGCGGCAAGAGCAGCGACGACGACGACGGAAGUUUGCAGGAUGGUGAGUCAGAAGCAUAUUUGCAGCCCGACCGUGUUAGGGAAUGGCCAUGUGGCAACCUAGCACUUCUGCUGUAUCUAUAUUGGGAGAAGGUGCAGCCAAGCACUGGUCCACGGUAUAAUCCGUUAGCAUUGUUGAGUCCCUUCAUGAGGAACUAG
rnacentral:rRNA from 1 species